AGCUUUGCAUGUGGCAGUAUCAUAACCAAUGAGGUUUAUCCAAGGCUUGAUUAUUGCUAAUUGAAAACUUUUCCCAAUACCGUGCCAUGACGACUUGAAAUAUAGUUGGCAUUGGCAAUUUUUGACAGUCUCUAUGGAGA
rnacentral:snRNA from 1 species